rnacentral:rRNA from 1 species
UACGUAGGGGGCAAGCGUUGUCCGGAAUUAUUGGGCGUAAAGCGCGCGCAGGCGGCGAUUUAAGUCUGGUGUUUAAACCUUGGGCUCAACCUGGGGUCGCACUGGAAACUGGGUCGCUUGAGUACAGAAGAGGAAAGUGGAAUUCCACGUGUAGCGGUGAAAUGCGUAGAGAUCCGGAGGAACACCAGAGGCGAAGGCGGCCUACUGGGCUGCACCUGACGCUGAGCCGCGAAAGCCAGGGGAGCGAACGGG